rnacentral:rRNA from 1 species
GUGGCGGACGGGUGAGUAACGCGUAAAGAACUUGCCUUACAGACUGGGACAACAUUUGGAAACGAAUGCUAAUACCGGAUAUUAUGACUGAGUCGCAUGAUUUGGUUAUGAAAGCUAUAUGCGCUGUGAGAGAGCUUUGCGUCCCAUUAGUUAGUUGGUGAGGUAACGGCUCACCAAGACGAUGAUGGGUAGCCGGCCUGAGAGGGUGAACGGCCACAAGGGGACUGAGACACGGCCCUUACUCCUACGGGAGGCAGCAGUGGGGAAUAUUGGACAAUGGACCAAAAGUCUGAUCCAGCAAUUCUGUGUGCACGAUGAAGUUUUUCGGAAUGUAAAGUGCUUUCAGUUGGGAAGAAGUCAGUGACGGUACCAACAGAAGAAGCGACGGCUAAAUACGUGCCAGCAGCCGCGGUAAUACGUAUGUCGCAAGCGUUAUCCGGAUUUAUUGGGCGUAAAGCGCGUCUAGGCGGUUUAGUAAGUCUGAUGUGAAAAUGCGGGGGCUCAACCCCGUAUUGCGUUGGAAACUGCUAAACUAGAGUACUGGAGAGGUAGGCGGAACUACAAGUGUAGAGGUGAAAUUCGUAGAUAUUUGUAGGAAUGCCGAUGGGGAAGCCAGCCUACUGGACAGAUACUGACGCUAAAGCGCGAAAGCGUGGGUAGCAAACAGGAUUAGAUACCCUGGUAGUCCACGCCGUAAACGAUGAUUACUAGGUGUUGGGGGUCGAACCUCAGCGCCCAAGCUAACGCGAUAAGUAAUCCGCCUGGGGAGUACGUACGCAAGUAUGAAACUCAAAGGAAUUGACGGGGACCCGCACAAGCGGUGGAGCAUGUGGUUUUAAUUCGACGCAACGCGAGGAACCUUACCAGCGUUUGACAUCCCAAGAAGUUAAACAGAGAUGUUUUCGUGCCUCUUUCGGAGGAACUUGGUGACAGGUGGUGCAUGGCUGUCGUCAGCUCGUGUCGUGAGAUGUUGGGUUAAGUCCCCCAACGAGCGCAACCCCUUUCGUAUGUUACCAUCAUUAAGUUGGGGACUCAUGCGAGACUGCCUGCGAUGAGCAGGAGGAAGGUGGGGAUGACGUCAAGUCAUCAUGCCCCUUAUACGCUGGGCUACACACGUGCUACAAUGGGUAGUACAGAGAGCUGCAAACCUGCGAGGGUAAGCUAAUCUCAUAAAACUAUUCUUAGUUCGGAUUGUACUCUGCAACUCGAGUACAUGAAGUUGGAAUCGCUAGUAAUCGCAAAUCAGCUAUGUUGCGGUGAAUACGUUCUCGGGUCUUGUACACACCGCCCGUCACACCACGAGAGUUGGUUGCACCUGAAGUAAACAGGCCUAACCGUAAGGAAGG